UGGGUAGUCCGUACGAGCGCACCUUGUCCCUAGUUACCAGCACUUCGGGUGGGAACUCUAGGGAGACUGCCGGUGAUAAACCGGAGGAAGGUGGGGAUGACGUCAAGUCAUCAUGGCCCUUAUGGGCAGGGCUACACACGUGCUACAAUGGCCGGCACAGAGGGCAGCGAAGCCGCGAGGUGAAGCGAAUCUCAGAAAACCGGUCGUAGUCCGGAUUGCAGUCUGCAACUCGACUGCAUGAAGCCGGAAUCGCUAGUAAUCGCGGAUCAGAACGCCGCGGUGAAUACGUUCCCGGGCCUUGUACACACCGCCCGUCACACCAUGGGAGUGGGCUGUACCAGAAGUAGGUAGUCUAACCUUCGGGAGGACGCUUACCACGGUGUGGUUCAUGACUGGGGUGAAGUCGUAACAAGGUAGCCCUAGGGGAACCUGGGGCUGGAUCACCUCCUU
rnacentral:rRNA from 1 species